rnacentral:misc_RNA from 1 species
CUAUCACUGAUCCGAUUGCAUCCACGUGCAGUCGGUCGACAUGGGCCUUCAGCACUGAUCGCCUCGAAUUGCUCGCGAUCGUCGUGGUAAACAAAGGAGUGUGGCAGCGAUGCGUGCCAUCCAGUGUUGUCGACGAUCAACCCGUGC